GAGUAUGGUGGUGGAUACAAGCCGGGAGGAGUAGAGAAUGUCGAUGGAUACGAGCCAGAAGGAACGGAGUACGGUGGUGGAUACGAGCUAGAAAUAGCGGAGUACGGUGGUGGAUAUGAGCUAGAAUAAGCGGAGUAUGGUGGUGGAUACGAGUUGGAAGGAGUAGAGUAUUGUGGUGGAUACGAGCCGGAAUGAGCGGAGUACGAUGGUGGGCUGAAGAUAUCAAACUCUGAAUGAUAUCCGUGGGAUGAAG
rnacentral:lncRNA from 1 species